rnacentral:rRNA from 1 species
CCUACGGGUGGCAGCAGUGGGGGAUAUUGCACAAUGGGGGAAACCCUGAUGCAGCGACGCCGCGUGAGUGAAGAAGUAUUUCGGUAUGUAAAGCUCUAUCAGCAGGGAAGAAAAUGACAGUACCUGACCAAGAAGCCCCGGCUAACUACGUGCCAGCAGCCGCGGUAAUACGUAGGGGGCAAGCGUUAUCCGGAUUUACUGGGUGUAAAGGGAGCGUAGACGGUUAUGUAAGUCUGGAGUGAAAGCCCGGGGCCCAACCCCGGGACUGCUUUGGAAACUGUGUAACUGGAGUACAGGAGGGGCAGGCGGAAUUCCUGGUGUAGCGGUGAAAUGCGUAGAUAUUAGGAGGAACACCAGUGGCGAAGGCGACUUUCUGGACUGUACCUGACGCUGAGGCGCGAAAGCGUGGGUAGCGAACGGGAUUAGAUACCCUUGUAGUC